rnacentral:rRNA from 1 species
GGUUAAGCGACUAAGCGUACACGGUGGAUGCCCUGGCAGUCAGAGGCGAUGAAGGACGUGCUAAUCUGCGAUAAGCGUCGGUAAGGUGAUAUGAACCGUUAUAACCGGCGAUUUCCGA